UUAACUCAAAUUUGUAUGGAGUUGGAACAGCGCCCCUAGCGGCAAACGUAAGCAAACGUUCCAACUGCAUACAAAAUCGGGUUA
rnacentral:pre_miRNA from 1 species